AGUCCAUGAUGGGGACACAACCUCAAUAAUUCUUUGAAUCUAUCCCAUGCAUCACAUAAAGACUCUCCUUCUUUUUGUGCAAAAUUAGUGAUCUGAUUUCUAAGUUG